AUGAUGUGGUUUAAUUCGAUGCAACGCGAAAACCUUACCCACCUUUGUACAUGUACGGAACCCUUUAGAGAUAGAGGGUGCUCGAAAGAGAGCCGUAACACAGGUGCUGCAUGGCUGUCGUCAGCUCGUGUCGUGAGAUGUUGGGUUAAGUCCCGCAACGAGCGCAACCCUUAUCAUUAGUUGCUACGCAAGGGCACUCUAAUGAGACUGCCGGUGACAAACCGGAGGAAGGUGGGGAUGACGUCAAGUCCUCAUGGCCCUUAUGGGUAGGGCUUCACACGUCAUACAAUGGUCGGUACAGAGGGUUGCCAAGCCGCGAGGCGGAGCCAAUCCCACAAAGCCGAUCGUAGUCCGGAUUGUUCUCUGCAACUCGAGAGCAUGAAGUCGGAAUCGCUAGUAAUCGCGUAUCAGCGCGACGCGGUGAAUACGUUCCCCGGGUCUU
rnacentral:rRNA from 1 species